rnacentral:lncRNA from 1 species
GCCCUGGGCAGUCUCUGGCUUCUCUGUUACUGGCCACCCCUCUGCUGCUGCCUUCCCCUUCCAUCUCUCCCUUCUCCCUCUCCUCCCUUUGUGCCUAUGGGUCGUUUCCCCUCCAGGCCCAGAUACAUGCACACUCUCAUACAUGUGCUUAGGAGCUUCGAACCAGGCACUCAAGGAACCAUUGAAAGAGGCACCUCUCUCUCAGAGAAUAUAAUUCCCCUUCUCAAGGUGGCUGAUGGGGACUGUGGCAUGUCUAACCUGUCCCAAAUACAAAUUUGUGCCAGUCUCCUGUCCAGCCUAAACUACUAGACACCUCAAACUCUAUUUCCCUUGGUCCUCCAGGAAAAAAAAACAAAACAGCCUUUUAGUAUCUCCCCUUGUUCUUUAGGAAAACAAAUGCCUUUGUAUCUCAUACUGAAAUUACAAGGGUAACAUAGAAAGGUUCUUGGCUGUUUCCUCUGCUUUUGUUCUUAAGAGACAGCUCAUUAUCCAGGGUCACUUGGUGUCUUCCCCACAUCUGGUAGGACUGUACUACAGUGCUCUGUAACUCUUAGGAGAUAAACAAUAAGAUGUGUAAGAGAACCUCCUACAGAUCUAAGCAGAAUAAAAUAUGCCUGAGACCUACCACAGACCAAACUUUAUAGCUUAGUAACAUUAACAGGCAGUUUAAGUAUGGUACAUCCUGUCGUGAUUUAGAUUCAACUCUUUUAGAAAACUGGGAAAUGUGUUAUGUUGCUUUAUGAUAGGACUUAAGGAAAAAGGAACCAAUAAGAAAGAAAAAUGUAAGCCUGGCAUGGUAGGUAGUCCAUGCCUUUAAUCCCAAGGAAGCAGAGUGAAGAAUCUCUUUUGAGUCUGAGGCCAGCUUACAAACCAGCUAGGUCUACAUAGUGAGACCCAUC